GACAGAGGGGGCAAGCGUUGCUCGGAAUUACUGGGCGUAAAGGGCGCGUAGGCGGGAUGGCAAGUCGGUCGUGAAAUCCCUCGGCUCAACCGAGGAACGUCGAUCGAUACUGCUGUUCUUGAGGAUUGCAGAGGAGACUGGAAUUCCCGGUGUAGCGGUGAAAUGUGUAGAGAUCGAGAGGAACACCUGCGGCGAAGGCGGGUUGCUGGGCUGACACUGACGCUGAGGCGCGAAAGCUAGGGGAGCGAACGGG
rnacentral:rRNA from 1 species